UAAGCGGAGGAAAAGAAACCAACAGGGAUUGCCCCAGUAACGGCGAGUGAAGCGGCAAAAGCUCAAAUUUGAAAUCCUGCGGGAAUUGUAAUUUGAAGGUUUCGUGGUCUGAGUCGGCCGCGCCCAAGUCCAUUGGAACAUGGCGCCUGGGAGGGUGAGAGCCCCGUCUGGCGCACGCCGACUCUUUGCACCGCGGCUCCGACGAGUCGAGUUGUUUGGGAAUGCAGCUCUAAGUGGGUGGUAAAUUCCAUCUAAAGCUAAAUAUUGGCGAGAGACCGAUAGCGAACAAGUACAGUGAUGGAAAGAUGAAAAGCACUUUGAAAAGAGAGUGAAACAGCACGUGAAAUUGUUGAAAGGGAAGGGCUUGCAAGCAGACACGGUUUUACCGGGCCAGCGUCGAAAAGGGGGGAGGAACAAGAACUCGAGAAUGUGGCGCGCACCUUCGGGCGCGCGUGUUAUAGCUCGUGUUGACGCCUCCAUCCCUUUUCGAGGCCUGCGAUUCUAGGACG
rnacentral:rRNA from 1 species